UACCAGCACCCGAGUGGUCGGACGUUUAUUGGGCCUAAGCAUCCGUAGCCGGUUCUACAAGUCUUCCGUUAAAUCCAGCUGCUUAACAGAUGGCUGCGGAAGAUACUAUGGAGCUAGGAGGCGGGAGAGGCAAGCGGUACUCGAUGGUAGGGUAAAUCCGUUGAUCCAUUGAAGACCACCAGUGGCGAAGGCGGCUCUUUGGUCUGUAACUGACGCUGAGGCGCGAAAGCGUGGGGAGCGAACAGG
rnacentral:rRNA from 1 species